CAAAGGUGAUGGAUACAAUUUGGGUUUUUAACUUUCCUGAUCGGGACAGUCACGCAAUACUGGAAUAUAAAAGAAAACCAGAAACCCUGAACAUGUAGCUGCCCGGCUGUCUCUUUCUCCAUGGCUGACAGGAGUGUUAAUCUAUCCAUAAGACAGUGUGAGACCCCUUCUGCCACCUCCUUGCCUCUGCUUCCCCUGCUCUCUGGACAGGAUUUAUUCACUCACAUCUCCCCCAUCACCCUGAGCAUCGGUCCUUACAGAAUGCUGAAGCCACCAAACGAAGCAUCGGGGAGUGCAGACUUUCUGGGUGGUGUGAUGUCGGAUCCGUGGGCUGCCACCAAUGGAAGCGGG
rnacentral:lncRNA from 1 species